rnacentral:rRNA from 1 species
CCUAAAGGCGCAAUGAAAGUGAAGGUCGGCCCUGCGCCGACCGAGGGAGGAUGGACCGCGUUACGAUGCGGCCCCGCACUCCCGGGGCGUCUCGUUCGCAUUGCGAGAAAAGGCGCACCCAGAGCGUACACGUUGGGACCCGAAAGAUGGUGAACUAUGCCUGGUCAGGACGAAGUCAGGGGAAACCCUGAUGGAGGUCCGUAGCGAUUCUGACGUGCAAAUCGAUCGUCGGAACUAGGUAUAGGGGCGAAAGACUAAUCGAACCAUCUAGUAGCUGGUUCCCUCCGAAGUUUCCCUCAGGAUAGCUGGCACUCGCGUGUUCAUAAGAACUUAUGCGAGUCUCAUCUGGUAAAGCGAAUGAUUAGAGGCCUUGGGGCCGAAACGACCUCAACCUAUUCUCAAACUUUAAAUGGGUGAGAUCUCUGGCUUGCUUGAACGGUGAAGCCACGAGAUUUCGGAUCAGAGUGCCAAGUGG